UGCUGUGGUAUCGGAGUCUUGAAUGCCAGAUAUUAAAACUUCACUGUUACCAGAUGACUGUUAUUACCGGAUACGGACCAAUAUCAAGUUGUUACGAAAUGUUGCUGCUGAUCUGUUACCAGUGUCAUCUGGCACGUAUUCUGUGUGUGUAGUGAAAGGAAAUGUUUUCUUUCUCAGCUUGGUGUUAGAGACAAUGAUGAGGAAGAGCCUGACGAGGAUGAGGACGACAUUGAGAACAUACUUGAAGCGUUUACAAAAGAUGAGCGAGGAAGAUGAGCAGGAAAUCGAUGCAGUUGAACGCCUGAGAAGUGAACUGGGAGAAAAAUUUGAAACAGAUAUGAAUAUUUUACAAAUGAUACAGUUCAAGAUUGAAAAAUGGCAAAUUGCCCGUUGUAAUAAGAACAAACCUCAGAAGUUUAUUAAUGAUUUAAUGCAAGUACUUUACACAAAUGAAUACAUGACCACACACAGUCUGACUGGGGCAAAAUCUUCUACUUCAAAAGACAAAGCCGUAAAACCAGCUAUGAAUCAGAAUGAAGUUCAAGAGAUCAUAGGAGUAACAAAACAGCUGUUUCCCAAUACAGAUGAUGUUUCAAUUAGGAGAAUGAUAGGGCAAAAACUCAACAACUGUACCAAGAAGCCAAAUAUACUGAAUGUAUCCAAAAGAAAGGACUUCCAUCAUGCAGCUAACACCGGACUGCAGUGGACGUCUGUGCCCUCCCUGGCAUUUUCCAUAUUUAGAUUCUCUGAACGAGAAGGACAGUCUCAACCAAAACGAGUGCAGCAAAAGUGCCAGUGAAAACUCCUGAUGCUCAGCCUGCAGCAGCCCUGGACUCACUCGGAUAUUAGAGUGAUAGGUUACAGGUUUCGAGAACCCGGGGCCCAGGAGAGACACUGGGAGGAGGAGCUUCACUGUUGGCCCAUCUGCCUCUUUGGAAUUUGGUGCUUAUAACUUGCUAUCCCAGCUGUAAGUGAUAAGGAGUCCUCUGCCUGAGACCAACAAGUGGCUUGCUGUUUUCACACAGCUCCUCAGAUCUGUCUGCCCCCCAGUAGAGGCUUCCUCAUACCAGCUCUGACCAGUGCCUCAAGCAGUUUGUGGCAGCUUGUUCUCCUGCAGAGGAACAGGAAUUCCGGAUCUCCCAGGCUCAUUGUUUUCUUAUCCUUUAUUUCUGUUUUCUUUUUAUGAGACUUAUCUUUUUUUUUCUCUCCCCUACAAAUUAUUUUUCAUUUUAUAUAGAUAAUUGUAUCAACCUUUUCUUUUACUGUUGGUGAAAUCUGGUCACAGGGAGAAGGGAUUUUUCACUCCCAAGUUAUAAAAGUAAUGACCCAUGUUUUUUUUUUUCCUACAAUUAAAUUUCUGACUUGUGAAUCUGUCCUAAUAUAUAGUAUGAAGUGUGGGUACAAUUUCUACCUUUUCCAAGUGAUUCCCCACUACUUCAAAAGCCCAUGUUGUUAUUCACUGCUGACUCCCACUGGCAAUGUGAUGUUGUAUUUCCAUGUGCACUUAAAGUCCUUGACUGAUUUUUUUCUGUCUCGUAAUCUGUGUCUCUGAUAACCAGUACUCUGCUCUUUGAAGUAUAGAGACUAGGAGACUUACAAAGAUUUCUUAUACAGGUUUUGCAUCCUCAAUAAACUUGUGCUUUACCUUAAAAAAAAAAAGAAAAAGAAAAAGAAAGCAUUUCACUGGCCUCUCAUAGCAAGUUAGGAAACAUCUUUUCAAUGCAGUUUUCUCCAAGGCAUUUCAGAGCUUUACAAAUGAUUAGUCUGGGGGAGGCACUGGGAGCUCAUUGUGAUGGGUCCCGCUGGUGUCCCUUAAAUGUAGUUGUCAGGGAAGCACCUGUAGGUUUAGGGUACUCCCUGAAACUGCAAGAAAUAGAACAGAUUGACACCAGCUACCAACAUAAGAAAUGAUAUGCUACCUUCUCUUCUCAUAUAGACUUGCAAAAAUAGGCCUUAGACUGAGAAACUAAUUAUCUUCUGAUAAUUAAUCACAAAUCGCAUAAACACCUUAACGUUAGGGAAUUGAUCAUGUUAAAUUAUGCUGU